rnacentral:rRNA from 1 species
ACUGGCUGUCGUCAGCUCGUGUCGUGAGAUGUUGGGUUAAGUCCCGCAACGAGCGCAACCCUUAUCCCUAGUUGCCAUCAGGUAAAGCUGGGAACUCUGGGGAGACUGCCGGUGAUAAACCGGAGGAAGGCGGGGAUGACGUCAAGUCCUCAUGGCCCUUACAUCCCGGGCUACACACGUGCUACAAUGGCAGGUACAGAGGGCUGCGAAGCCGCGAGGUGGAGCGAAUCCCAGAAAACCUGUCUCAGUCCGGAUUGAAGUCUGCAACUCGACUUCAUGAAGGCGGAAUCGCUAGUAACCGCGAAUCAGCAGGUCCGCGGUCGAAUACGUUCCCGGGCCUU